rnacentral:misc_RNA from 1 species
AACGGUCUAUACCUGCGGUACCUGCGGAAGGAUCAUUACCAAGAGAAAUCUUUCAACACUGAAAGAUCUUUUCCUUUGUGCUGGCUUUGACCGUAUGUAAUUUUGGGACUUUAAAAUGGUUCGCAAGGGCCGGUCCCAAAAACAAUAUAUCAUCCUUAUGAAAUUUUUUCUGAACAAUUAAACAAAUGAUUUUAAUAAUCUGUUUAAAACAACUUUUAACAAUGGAUCUCUAGAUCGGAA